GACGAAGGGGGCUAGCGUUGUUCGGAAUUACUGGGCGUAAAGCGCGUGUAGGCGGUUGUUCAAGUCAGGUGUGAAAGCCUUGAGCUCAACUCAAGAAAUGCACUUGAUACUGGAUGACUAGAGGACCGGAGAGGAUAGUGGAAUUCCCAGUGUAGUGGUGAAAUACGUAGAGAUUGGGAAGAACACCCGUGGCGAAGGCGGCUCUCUGGGACGGUACUGACGCUGAGACGCGAAAGCGUGGGGAGCGAACAGG
rnacentral:rRNA from 1 species